rnacentral:rRNA from 1 species
AACGAACGCUGGCGGCGUGCUUAACACAUGCAAGUCGUGCGAGAAAGGGCUUCGGCCUGAGUACAGCGGCGAACGGGUGCGUAACACGUGGGUAAUCUGCCUUUGGGCUCGGGAUAACCUUCCGAAAGGAGGGCUAAUACCGGAUAAGCCCACGGGAGCCUCGGCUCCUGUGGGAAAAGGUGGCCUCUAUUUAUAAGCUACCACCUGAAGAUGAGCCCGCGGCCCAUCAGCUAGUUGGCGGGGUAAUGGCCCACCAAGGCUUCGACGGGUAGCUGGUCUGAGAGGACGAUCAGCCACACUGGGACUGAGACACGGCCCAGACUCCUACGGGAGGCUG